GGGUGGUUAGUUCAGCGGUAGAACGCUUCCCUGACACGGAAGAGGUCAGUGGUUCAAGUCCACUAUCACCCACCA
rnacentral:tRNA from 1 species